AGCAGUAGCCACGGGAAUACGAAGGGGGCUAGCGUUGUUCGGAAUUACUGGGCGUAAAGCGCACGUAGGCGGAUAUUUAAGUCAGGGGUGAAAUCCUGGAGCUCAACUCCAGAACUGCCUUUGAUACUGAAGAUCUUGAGUUCGGGAGAGGUGAGUGGGACUGCGAGUGUAGAAGUGAAAUUCGUAGAUAUUCGCAAGAACACCAGUGGCGAAGGCGGCUCACUGGCCCGAUACUGACGCUGAGGCACGAAAGCGUGGGGAGCAAACAGGAUUAGAUACCCGAGUAGUCCCUGUCUCUUAUAC
rnacentral:rRNA from 1 species